AGUGAACGCUGGCGGUAGGCCUAACACAUGCAAGUCGAACGGCAGCACAGUAAGAGCUCGCGCUUACGGGUGGCGAGUGGCGGACGGGUGAGGAAUACAUCGGAAUCUACUUUUUCGUGGGGGAUAACGUAGGGAAACUUACGGUAUUACCGCAUACGACCUACGGGUGAAAUCAUGGGAUCUUCGGAUCUUACAUGAUUGAAUGAGCCGAUGUCGGAUUAGCUAGUUGGCGGGGUAAAGGCCCACCGAGGCGACGAUCCGUAGCUGGUCUGAGAGGAUGAUCAGCCACACUGGAACUGAGACACGGUCCAGACUCCUACGGGAGGCAGCAGUGGGGAAUAUUGGACAAUGGGCGCAAGCCUGAUCCAGCCAUGCCGCGUGGGUGAAGAAGGCCUUCGGGUUGUAAAGCCCUUUUGUUGGGAAAGAAAAGCAGCAGGUUAAUACCCCGCUGUUCUGACGGUACCCAAAGAAUAAGCACCGGCUAACUUCGUG
rnacentral:rRNA from 1 species